rnacentral:rRNA from 1 species
AACGGCCAUACCAUGCUGAAUAUACCGGUUCACGUUAGAUCACCGAAGUCAAGCAUCAUUGGGCGCGGUCAGUACUUGGGUGGGUGACCACCUGGGGGACACCGCGUGCCG